rnacentral:rRNA from 1 species
AUUGAACGCUGGCGGCAGGCCUAACACAUGCAAGUCGAACGGUAACAGGAAGAAGCUUGCUUCUUUGCUGACGAGUGGCGGACGGGUGAGUAAUGUCUGGGAAACUGCCUGAUGGAGGGGGAUAACUACUGGAAACGGUAGCUAAUACCGCAUAAUGUCGCAAGACCAAAGAGGGGGACCUUCUGGCCUCUUGCCAUCGGAUGUGCCCAGAUGGGAUUAGCUAGUAGGUGGGGUAACGGCUCACCUAGGCGACGAUCCCUAGCUGGUCUGAGAGGAUGACCAGCCACACUGGAACUGAGACACGGUCCAGACUCCUACGGGAGGCAGCAGUGGGGAAUAUUGCACAAUGGGCGCAAGCCUGAUGCAGCUAUGACGCGUGUAUGAAGAAGGCCUUCGGGUUGUAAAGUACUUUCAGCGGGGAGGAAGGGAGUAAAGUUAAUACCUUUGCUCAUUGACGUUACCCGCAGAAGAAGCCACGGCUAACUCCGUG